rnacentral:rRNA from 1 species
UACGGGGGGGGCAAGCGUUGUUCGGAAUUACUGGGCGUAAAGGGCUCGUAGGUGGCCAACUAAGUCAGACGUGAAAUCCCUCGGCUUAACCGGGGAACUGCGUCUGAUACUGGAUGGCUGGAGUAUGGGAGAGGGAUGCGGAAUUCCAGGUGUAGCGGUGAAAUGCGUAGAUAUCUGGAGGAACACCGGUGGCGAAGGCGGCAUCCUGGACCAUUACUGACGCUGAGGAGCGAAAGCCAGGGGAGCAAGCGGG